rnacentral:rRNA from 1 species
AGUGAACGCUGGCGGUAGGCCUAACACAUGCAAGUCGAACGGCAGCACAGGAGAGCUUGCUCUCUGGGUGGCGAGCGGCGGACGGGUGAGGAAUACAUCGGAAUCUACCUUUUCGUGGGGGAUAACGUAGGGGAACUUACGCUAAUACCGCAUACGACCUACGGGUGAAAGUGGGGGACCGCAAGGCCUCACGCGAUUAG